rnacentral:lncRNA from 1 species
AACCCGUUACCAACUGGUGACAAAACUUGAACGACCUGCAAACACUGAUAAACUCAACCAAGCGAACCCUUAAAUCAUGGAAAUCUCUCUCUCUCCAUCUUAUCUCUGAAAUUGUUGUUGAAUUUUGGUUAAAGAUUAUGUGUCGUCACCUCAAAAUCUAAUCAGAAUCAGAAUCUGUCAAUUUGAAUCUGAAUUUUGGGGAACUUGUUUUCUCUUUACUGGUCUAUUGCUGCUCCUCUCCAACAUUUAUUUUUUGAAUUAAAACCAAUAUUUCUCCUAUAAAUAGACAUUGGGGGACUCAGCGGCAAAGAGAGGAUUUUAGGUGAAAAAAUUGAAGAUUAUGGAGGCGCACGCUUCUAAUCUUGCAUAACCAAAAUUCUCAAAGAGCACUCAAAAGAUCAAAAUUCAAUGACCUCGUUCAAACUCCAUCGGCCAGAAUAGAGACUAGGUGGUGAAAACUUCAUCGUUAUAAGUUCGUUUGUCCCGGUAUCGCUGCCCCAAAAUAGGUAAUGCUACUGUUGUUUCUGUUCUUUUUUCUUGAUUUUAAUAGGCAAUUUGAGAAAUAGAUACUGAGAAUGUUUAUAUUGACUUGGAGUUAUCUGAUUGUUCUUUAAGAUGUGUAUAAAUCGAUUGAAAUAUAUUCCUGUCCAUAUUACAUACUGUGUGUUGAAAUUUGCUGAUCUCACGUUAUUAACUAUGUUACAAUUAUCUUAACAUGAACACCAUAUAGUAUUUGUCAUUCCGUGCUUUUUCUUCACUCCUAAAAACUCAUGGAUUCUAUCACUCCUUCCUAUUGUCGUGUUUUCUAUUUUCUGUCGUACUGGUACUGCAUAAGGGCUUCACUUAAUUCUGUCUGAUUUUGAUUAAAAUUUUAUAUAAACCACGUAAUAGUAUUGGUUUUAAUAUGAUGUCCAUCUUUGAUCUUCAUAUCAUAUUUUGACGAAAAGGAAAAAAAUAGUUUAAGAUUAGCUAUGCAUUUUUGCGUAUCGAUUUUCCUAAAUUAUAGCUUAAUGCUUACGUGAACAUUGUCCCAUUUUUGAGAGAAAUCUAGUCUUAUCCCUAGUUUUGCCUCUUUUUAUUUUGAGCUAUUAUGUUUAUUUUGGAAUCUCUUUGUUGGAAUUUUUUCUUAGAAAAUGAAUGUUGUCUCUUGUGUAUUGCAUGCAUAUCAAUGCUUUAUGCACUUUAAACAUCCAAUUAUGUUUGAGAACCAAAUUCUUAAUUCAUCUUGUCUUUCAAGUGCAAUUUGUAUAAAAGAAUAUGUUGCGCUUUAAAAAAAUAGGGCUCACUUAAUUGUUCCACAUGCUUUCUCUAUUUUAAAGGUUUUGUGACUAUUUCCUUCUCGGCUAUACGUAAUAUGAUCACAUCUCAUGUGAAUAAUCUAAUUCAAAGACUAAUUGCCUUCUCUGUAUCGCAUGUAAACCUCCUUGGCUAAGUCAACGGGACUCCAAUCCUUGCAUUUCUCCGGGCAAAGCCCAUUUUUUUGAGCCAAAAAUGGAUUAGUAUAUAAGAUUAGCUGCUGGUAUACACUGGUAUACAAAAAAUAUACAGGAUUUACAGGUCGCAAGUGGCUGGUAUAUGCUUAUACAUGGUUCCUAACAAAGCUAGACACAAGUAUAUUGGUUCUUGUACACUGAUAUACUACGUAUAUACAGGAAAAUGUAGAAAGCAGGGCUAGAAUACAUGUGGUAUACAGUACAGGAAAUGGGCUAGAAAUCCAUGGGAUUUUUUCCUAAUGGGCCAGCAGGGGCCCAAAUCUUAAACUUUUGCUCCUUUUUUUCUUGUACUUAUUUAUGUUGCUUGUAAUUUGUACUAACUUUUAUUUAGUAGCCGUUUGGCCAUGAAAAUUAAAAUUUUCC